rnacentral:rRNA from 1 species
GACGAACGCUGGCGGCGUGCUUAACACAUGCAAGUCGAACGGAAAGGCCCUGCUUUUGUGGGGUGCUCGAGUGGCGAACGGGUGAGUAACACGUGAGUAACCUGCCCUUGACUUUGGGAUAACUUCAGGAAACUGGGGCUAAUACCGGAUAGGAGCUCCUGCUGCAUGGUGGGGGUUGGAAAGUUUCGGCGGUUGGGGAUGGACUCGCGGCUUAUCAGCUUGUUGGUGGGGUAGUGGCUUACCAAGGCUUUGACGGGUAGCCGGCCUGAGAGGGUGACCGGCCAAAUGGGGACGGAGGUAGGGCCCAGACGCCUACGGGAGGCAGCAGUGGGGAAUGUUGCAGAACGGGCGGGAGCUUGAGGCAGCAACGCCGCGGGGGGGAUGACGGCGUUGGGGUUGUAAACCGAUUUCGCCUGUGACGAAGCGUGAGGGACGGUAAUGGGUAAAGAAGCACCGGCUAACUAGGGG